rnacentral:tRNA from 1 species
UCCCUAGUGGCUCAGAAGGUAAAGCAUCUGCUUGCCUGCAGGAGACCAGGGUUCAAUCCCUGGAUUGGGAA